rnacentral:rRNA from 1 species
ACAUGCAAGUCGAACGGAAAGGCCCCUUCGGGGGUACUCGAGUGGCGAACGGGUGAGUAACACGUGGGCAAUCUGCCCUGCACUUCGGGAUAAGCCUGGGAAACUGGGUCUAAUACCGGAUAGGACCUUUAGGCGCAUGUCUUUAGGUGGAAAGCUUUUGCGGUGUGGGAUGGGCCCGCGGCCUAUCAGCUUGUUGGUGGGGUGAUGGCCUACCAAGGCGACGACGGGUAGCCGGCCUGAGAGGGUGUCCGGCCACACUGGGACUGAGAUACGGCCCAGACUCCUACGGGAGGCAGCAGUGGGGAAUAUUGCACAAUGGGCGCAAGCCUGAUGCAGCGACGCCGCGUGGGGGAUGACGGCCUUCGGGUUGUAAACCUCUUUCACCAUCGACGAAGGUCCGGGUUUUCUCGGAUUGACGGUAGGUGGAGAAGAAGCACCGGCCAACUACGUGCCAGCAGCCGCGGUAAUACGUAGGGUGCGAGCGUUGUCCGGAAUUACUGGGCGUAAAGAGCUCGUAGGUGGUUUGUCGCGUUGUUCGUGAAAUCUCACGGCUUAACUGUGAGCGUGCGGGCGAUACGGGCAGACUAGAGUACUGCAGGGGAGACUGGAAUUCCUGGUGUAGCGGUGGAAUGCGCAGAUAUCAGGAGGAACACCGGUGGCGAAGGCGGGUCUCUGGGCAGUAACUGACGCUGAGGAGCGAAAGNGUGGGGAGCGAACAGGAUUAGAUACCCUGGUAGUCCACGCCGUAAACGGUGGGUACUAGGUGUGGGUUUCCUUCCUUGGGAUCCGUGCCGUAGCUAACGCAUUAAGUACCCCGCCUGGGGAGUACGGCCGCAAGGCUAAAACUCAAAGGAAUUGACGGGGGCCCGCACAAGCGGCGGAGCAUGUGGAUUAAUUCGAUGCAACGCGAAGAACCUUACCUGGGUUUGACAUGCACAGGACGCGUCUAGAGAUAGGCGUUCCCUUGUGGCCUGUGUGCAGGUGGUGCAUGGCUGUCGUCAGCUCGUGUCGUGAGAUGUUGGGUUAAGUCCCGCAACGAGCGCAACCCUUGUCUCAUGUUGCCAGCGGGUAAUGCCGGGGACUCGUGAGAGACUGCCGGGGUCAACUCGGAGGAAGGUGGGGAUGACGUCAAGUCAUCAUGCCCCUUAUGUCCAGGGCUUCACACAUGCUACAAUGGCCGGUACAAAGGGCUGCGAUGCCGCAAGGUUAAGCGAAUCCUUUUAAAGCCGGUCUCAGUUCGGAUUGGGGUCUGCAACUCGACCCCAUGAAGUCGGAGUCGCUAGUAAUCGCAGAUCAGCAACGCUGCGGUGAAUACGUUCCCGGGCCUUGUACACACCGCCCGUCACGUCAUGAAAGUCGGUAACACCCGAAGCCAGUGGCCUAACCCUUGGGAGGGAGCUGUCGAAGGUGGGAUCGGCGAUUGGGACGAAGUCGUAACAA